GACGAACGCUGGCGGCGUGCUUAACACAUGCAGGUCGAACGGAAAGGCCCUGCUUUUGUGGGGUGCUCGAGUGGCGAACGGGUGAGUAACACGUGAGUAACCUGCCCUUGACUUUGGGAUAACUUCAGGAAACUGGGGCUAAUACCGGAUAGGAGCUCCUGCUGCAUGGUGGGGGUUGGAAAGUUUCGGCGGUUGGGGAUGGACUCGCGGCUUAUCAGCUUGUUGGUGGGGUAGUGGCUUACCAAGGCUUCGACGGGUAGCCGGCCUGAGAGGGUUACCGGCCACAUUGGGACUGAGAUACGGCCCAGAAUCCUACGGGAGGCAGCAGUGGGGAAUAUUGCACAAUGGGCGGAAGCCUGAGGCAGCAACGCCGCGUGCGGGAUGACGGCCUUCGGGUUGUAAACCGCUUUCGCCUGUGACGAAGCGUGAGUGACGGUAAUGGGUAAAGAAGCACCGGCUAACUACGUG
rnacentral:rRNA from 1 species